AGAGUUUGAUCCUGGCUCAGGACGAACGCUGGCGGCGUGCUUAACACAUGCAAGUCGAACGAGAAUCACUGGAAGGAGUUUUCGGACAACGGAAGGUGAGGACAGUGGCGGACGGGUGAGUAACGCGUGAGGAACCUGCCUUUCAGAGGGGGACAACAGUUGGAAACGACUGCUAAUACCGCAUGAUGCAUAGAGAUCGCAUGGUUUUUAUGCCAAAGAUUUAUCGCUGAAAGAUGGCCUCGCGUCUGAUUAGCUAGUUGGUGAGGUAACGGCCCACCAAGGCGACGAUCAGUAGCCGGACUGAGAGGUUGACCGGCCACAUUGGGACUGAGAUACGGCCCAGACUCCUGCGGGAGGCAGCAGUGGGGAAUAUUGGUCAAUGGGCGGAAGCCUGAACCAGCCAUGCCGCGUGCGGGAAGGAGGCCCUAUGGGCUGUGAACCGCUUUUGCCUGGGGGCAAUAAGGGCGUCGCGCACGUCCGAUGAGAGUACCAGGCGAAUAAGCAUCGGCUAACUCCGUGCCAGCAGCCGCGGUAAUACGGAGGAUGCGAGCGUUAUCCGGAUUUAUUGGGUUUAAAGGGUGCGUAGGCGGGAUUUUAAGUCAGCGGUGAAACGCAAGGGCUCAACCCUUGACCUGCCGUUGAAACUGGAGUUCUUGAAUGCGGAUGCUGUGGGAGGAAUGUGUGGUGUAGCGGUGAAAUGCAUAGAUAUCACACAGAACACCGAUUGCGAAGGCAUCUCACAAAUCCGUGAUUGACGCUGAGGCACGAAAGUGUGGGGAUCAAACAGGAUUAGAUACCCUGGUAGUCCACACUGUAAACGAUGAUAACUCGCUGUCGGCGAUACACAGUCGGUGGCCAAGCGAAAGCGAUAAGUUAUCCACCUGGGGAGUACGACCGCAAGGUUGAAACUCAAAGGAAUUGACGGGGGCCCGCACAAGCGGAGGAACAUGUGGUUUAAUUCGAUGAUACGCGAGGAACCUUACCCGGGCUUGAACUGCCGGCGAACGAUACAGAGAUGUUGAGGCCCUUCGGGGCGCCGGCGGAGGUGCUGCAUGGUUGUCGUCAGCUCGUGCCGUGAGGUGUCGGCUUAAGUGCCAUAACGAGCGCAACCCCUCUCCGUAGUUGCCAUCGGGUGAUGCCGGGCACUCUGCGGACACUGCCACCGUAAGGUGUGAGGAAGGUGGGGAUGACGUCAAAUCAGCACGGCCCUUACGUCCGGGGCUACACACGUGUUACAAUGGGUGGUACAGAGGGCAGGCGUCCGGCAACGUCCGUCUAAUCCCGAAAGCCAUCCUCAGUUCGGACUGGGGUCUGCAACCCGACCCCACGAAGCUGGAUUCGCUAGUAAUCGCGCAUCAGCCAUGGCGCGGUGAAUACGUUCCCGGGCCUUGUACUCACCGCCCGUCAAG
rnacentral:rRNA from 1 species